CUAAAAGCCUUUAUAAAUGGGUAACAGCUUGUCAAGCAUCAUCAUCAAAACACUAGAAGUCAGCAAGCCUCCACCUGCCCUGCUGACUUCACUGCUUGAUUCAAGAAGAUAGUUUAAGGAGCCGCCACAUGAUCAGAAUAUAGAUCACCAUUACACCAUCAGUCAUGAGUGGAAUUACAGUGGAGCGUGAUUCCCCGUAUGCACUACUUUGCUCAAGGACCCCUGUGCGGUAUGAGAGAGAGAAGAAACUGGAAGGAUUUUACUAAGAAGAAGGUCUCUUACCUGGCUGGUCAGCUGCAGUGGGUACGACUGUGAGUGUUGGACUAGAUGGAGAUGGCACCGUAGUUAAAGACGAGGUGUCUGUCUGGCUUGAGAUGGUAGCAGCUGGCAUUGUGGGCAGAAAGCUCGUCACAAGUAGCACUUGGGACAGUAAAAUUACAGCGCUGAGUCGAGAGCCGAGAGAGUAAGUAAAGAGGGCCAGCUACCUCCUACUGUUAACACUUCUAUUUUUAAAUUUAGCUUUGGAAAACAUACUCGUGCUUAUGCAAAAGAAUACAAAGUCUGUAAAAAUUACAAGUGAGUACAUCUAGUUGUGUAAUAUAAAAGUUUAAUCACUCAGAGCUGUUUCUAGUUUGUAUGUAUUGCAGUAAAUAUGUGAUGAAAAUGACGGAUUUUAUCAUAC